GCCUGGCUGGCUCAGCCAGUAGGGCAUACGACUCUUGAUCGCAGGGUCAUGGGUUCGAGCCCCAUGUGUGGUG
rnacentral:tRNA from 1 species